rnacentral:rRNA from 1 species
GACGUAGGGUGCAAGCGUUGUCCGGAUUUAUUGGGCGUAAAGAGCUCGUAGGCGGCUCGUCGCGUCGGCCGUGAAAUCCCUAGGCUUAACCUGGGGCUUGCGGUCGAUACGGGCGGGCUAGAGUUCGGUAGGGGAGACUGGAAUUCCUGGUGUAGCGGUGAAAUGCGCAGAUAUCAGGAGGAACACCGGUGGCGAAGGCGGGUCUCUGGGCCGAUACUGACGCUGAGGAGCGAAAGCGUGGGGAGCGAACAGG